rnacentral:rRNA from 1 species
UAGGGAAUCUUCCACAAUGGACGCAAGUCUGAUGGAGCAACGGCCGCGUGAGUGAAGAAGGUUUUCGGACCGUAAAGCUCUGUUGUUGGUGAAGAAGGAUAGAGGUAGUAACUGGCCUUUAUUUGACGGUAAUCAACCAGAAAGUCACGGCUAACUACGUGCCAGCAGCCGCGGUAAUACGUAGGUGGCAAGCGUUGUCCGGAUUUAUUGGGCGUAAAGCGAGCGCAGGCGGAAGAAUAAGUCUGAUGUGAAAGCCCUCGGCUUAACCGAGGAAUUGCAUCGGAAACUGUUUUCUUGAGUGCAGAAGAGGAGAGUAGAACUCCAUGUGUAGCGGUGGAAUGCGUAGAUAUAUGGAAGAAUACCAGUGGCGAAGGCGGCUCUCUGGUCUGCAACUGACGCUGAGGCUCGAAAGCAUGGGUAGCGAACAGGAUUAGAUACCCUGGUAGUCCAUGCCGUAAACGAUGAGUGCUAAGUGUUGGGAGGCUUCCGCCUCU